rnacentral:rRNA from 1 species
UACGUAGGUGGCAAGCGUUGUCCGGAUUUAUUGGGUUUAAAGGGUGCGUAGGCGGUUCCAUAAGUCAGUGGUGAAAUACAAUAGCUUAACUAUUGAGGUGCCACUGAUACUGCGGAACUUGAGUACAGACGAGGUAGGCGGAAUUGACGGUGUAGCGGUGAAAUGCUUAGAUAUCGUCAAGAACACCGAUAGCGAAGGCAGCUUACUAGACUGUAACUGACGCUGAGGCACGAAAGUGUGGGGAUCAAAC